rnacentral:tRNA from 1 species
GCGGACGUGGUGGAAUGGUAGACACGCAUGCUUGAGGGGCAUGUGGCAGAAAUGUCGUGUGAGUUCAAAUCUCAUCGUCCGCACCA